UCAAGACCUUUCAACCAUGAACUCUCACUCUAUUAUGACCCUUCUCAGGAUUUUGAACAUUUUAAAUCAGGAAAUGGAUAGAGUUUCCAGGUAGUUUAAAUGAUAGACUUUCCAUUCUGACCCCUGGACACUGGUGAUUCUAUGUGCUCUUGACUUUUGUUAUAGCUUUAUUUAGUGAUAUGGGGGCAGUGGCAGUGUAACGUUAUAUAGUCUGUUCUUACAGAUGACGCAUAGGUCAUUGGAGACCUCAACUUUGGUAAAAACAUGAGACUGACCCUGAACUGCUUGUCAGUUUCAUAACUGCAUUGUGAACUCUUACCUUUUGUGCCCUUUCCUGCCAUGAUGUCAUCUGCCAUUAUAUUAACUGGAGUUACACAAAUGAGAACAGUAUGUCUUUGAGGUAUCAGGGCUGUGGAUUAAAUAACUCUCUUCUUUAGUAUAUCACUGAGUCUCAUGCUUCAUUGUAAUAAUAAUAAAGGCAUUAGUACAUGUCUUAAACACAGGUUCUAACUGACUUUAUUUCUGCACCCUUCCAAACUGACAGGAAUCAGGAACUCUAAACUGUCUCACUUAUCAGUCUUUGAAGAGGAUUCCAGGAAACUAUGAGAAUUUAGCCAAUGGCAUCUUCUAGGCUUUCUCAUAGAAAGUGGUCUGAGUCUGCUUUCCAGAUAUAGAGAAGAUAAUGUGGGAAAAGGCCAGAGUACCAACUGGCCACAAGCAUUUUAAUUUGAUGCAUUCCUUGUCAUGGUUUCUGUUUAGCAUUGUAUAGAUUGAAGAGGCAUCAGCUCAGGGAAUUGAACAGCAAGGGUUUCACUGCAUGUCUACUGUGUCAACAGGUAAUAGUGAACUAGAUAGUUCCAAGUGCAGUCUCUGUAGAGUAUAUACAUGUAUACACACAUAUGAUAUAAUUAGAUAGAUAUAAAUGUAUAUAUAGACAUGUAUAUAUGUAUGUACAAACACACAUGAGCAAAAUAUACAGAAAGAAAUGUUGACUCCAUCACUCUAUUCCCCUAAAAAUCUACAUCAACCAGGCACCUCAACUCACUAAUGAAAAUCACAACUGUCUUGCUCUCUUAUAAAUAAGAUAAGUUCUGUUCCUCUGAAGAAUGAUAUACAAUACAUUUGUGAGAAUUAGUAGAAGCUCACUCGGGUAGAAUUAAAGACCUUUCAUGAAAGGCUUUCAGUAAAGUAUUUACUUGCAAGCAAGAGGACAUGAGUUCUAUUCUCAGAAGCAAUGUUGACUUGUGUAUAUUAUUAUAUCAUGUUAAACAAACAAUCAGGCAAAUGAAAAAUCAACAGCUACAAAGAAACAAAAAACCUCUAGCUAUAGGAGUGGGUGCAUGUAAUCCCAGAGCUACCUUGAAAGCAAACCAAUGGAACUUGCUGGCCAGUAGUCAUGUGUACUUAGUUAUUUCCAAGCCAUUGAGAUAUACUCUCAAAAGGGAUAGGGUGGAGAGAAACUAGAGAAUGAUGUUUCAUCUACCUUUCAGUCUCUGUACCAAUACCAUGUGGUUUUUUUUAUUACUAUUGCUCUGUAGUACAGCUUGCGGUCAGGGGUGGUGAUUCCCCCAGAAGUUCUUUUAAUGUAGAGAAUUGCUUUCACUAUCCUGGGGUUUUUGUUAUUCCAUAUGAAGUUGAGAAUUGUUCUUUCUAUCUCUGUGAAGAAUUGACUUAGAAUUUUGGUAGAGAUUACAUUGAAUCUGUAGAUUGCUUUUGGUAAGAUGGCCAUUUUUACUAUGUUAAUCCUACCAUUCAAUGAGCAUAGGAUAUUUUUCCACUUUUUUCGAUUUCUUUUGGCAGAGACUUGAAGUUCUUGUCAUACAGCUCUUUCACUUACUUUGUUAGAGUUACACAAAGAUAUGUUAUAUUAUUUGUGACUAAUGUGAAAGAAUUUGUUUCCCUAAUUUCUUCCUCAGCCCAUUUAUCCUUUCUGCAGAGGAAGGCUACUGAUUUGUUUGAUUUAAUUUUAUAUCCAGCCAUUUUGCAAAAGUUGUUUAUCAGGUGUAGGAGUUCACUGGUAGAAUUUUGGAAUUCACUUGUGUAUACUAUUAUAUCAUCUUCAAACAGUGAUACUUUGACUUCUUCCUUCCAAAUUUGUAGCCCUUUGACAUCUUUUUGUAGUCUAAUUGUUUUAGUCAGAACUUCAAGUACUAUAUCGAAUAAAUAGGAAAAGGGUGGGCACCCACAAAUAAACCUGCACACCUAUAGAUACUUGUUCUUUGACAAAGAAGCCAAAACAAUACAAUGGGGGAAAAAGGAAGGAUUUUCAACAAAUGUUGAUGAUCUAACUGGCAGUCUGCAUAUAGAAGAAUGCAAUUUGAUCCAUUUUUAUUUUCUUGUACAAAGCUGAAGUCCUAUUGGAUGAAGGACCUCCAUAUAAAUCCAGAUAUGUUGAAUCCAGCAGAAGAGAGUGGGAAAUAGCCUUGAACACAUUGACACAGGAGAGAGUUUCCUGAAUAGAACACCAAUGCCUCAGGCUCUAAGAUCUACAAUUGAAAAAUGGGACCACAUUAAACUGAAAAGCUUCUGGAAGUCAAAAAUCACUGUCAAUAUGACAAAACUGUGACCUACAGAUUGGGAAAAGAUCUUUACCAACCCUACAGCUGAUAGAAGGCUAAUAUCCAAAUAUGC
rnacentral:lncRNA from 1 species